GUCUACGGCCAUGCCACCCUGAAUGUGCCCAAUCUCAUCUGAUCUUGGAAGCUAAGCAGUGUCGGGCCUGGUUAGUUCCUGGAUGGGCGACCACCUUGGAAUAUCAGGUGCUGUAGGCG
rnacentral:rRNA from 1 species